UACGGAGGGUGCGAGCGUUAUCCGGAAUUACUGGGUUUAAAGAGCGUGUAGGCGGCCCGAUAAGUCCGCCGUGAAAGUCCAGGGCUCAACCCUGGAAUGCCGGUGGAAACUGUCGGGCUGGAGUCCGGAAGAGGCGAGUGGAAUUCCUGGUGUAGCGGUGAAAUGCGCAGAUAUCAGGAGGAACACCAAUGGCGAAGGCAGCUCGCUGGGACGGUACUGACGCUGAGACGCGAAAGCGUGGGGAGCAAACAGG
rnacentral:rRNA from 1 species